AGAGUUUGAUCCUGGCUCAGGACGAACGCUGGCGGUGUGCUUAACACAUGCAAGUCGAACGGUAAGGCCCUUUCGGGGGUACACGAGUGGCGAACGGGUGAGUAACACGUGAGUAACCUGCCCUCAUCUCUGGGAUAACAGUCGGAAACGGUUGCUAAUACUGGAUAUGAGCUUGCAAGGCAUCUUGUGGGUUGGAAAGAUUUUUUUGGUUGGGGAUGGACUCGCGGCCUAUCAGCUUGUUGGUGAGGUAGUGGCUCACCAAGGCUUCGACGGGUAGCCGGCCUGAGAGGGCGACCGGCCACAUUGGGACUGAGAUACGGCCCAAACUCCUACGGGAGGCAGCAGUGGGGAAUAUUGCACAAUGGACGGAAGUCUGAUGCAGCAACGCCGCGUGCGGGAUGACGGCCUUCGGGUUGUAAACCGCUUUCAAUUGUGACGAAGCUUUUUGUGACGGUAGCAGUAGAAGAAGCACCGGCUAACUACGUGCCAGCAGCCGCGGUGAUACGUAGGGUGCGAGCGUUGUCCGGAUUUAUUGGGCGUAAAGAGCUUGUAGGUGGUUUGUCGCGUCGGGAGUGAAAACUCAGGGCUUAACUCUGAGCUUGCUUUCGAUACGGGCUGACUUGAGGGAGGUAGGGGAGAAUGGAAUUCCUGGUGGAGCGGUGGAAUGCGCAGAUAUCAGGAGGAACACCGGUGGCGAAGGCGGUUCUCUGGACCUUUCCUGACGCUGAGAAGCGAAAGCGUGGGGAGCGAACAGGCUUAGAUACCCUGGUAGUCCACGCUGUAAACGGUGGGUACUAGGUGUGGGGGACAUUCCACGUUCUCCGUGCCGUAGCUAACGCAUUAAGUACCCCGCCUGGGGAGUACGGCCGCAAGGCUAAAACUCAAAGGAAUUGACGGGGCCCCGCACAAGCGGCGGAGCAUGCGGAUUAAUUCGAUGCAACGCGAAGAACCUUACCUGGGUUUGACAUAUGCCGGAAGCGUUCAGAGAUGGGCGUGCCUUUUUGGUCGGUUUACAGGUGGUGCAUGGCUGUCGUCAGCUCGUGUCGUGAGAUGUUGGGUUAAGUCCC
rnacentral:rRNA from 1 species